AACUUUCGACAACGGACCUCUUGGUUCUGGCAUCGAUGAAGAACGCAGCGAAAUGCGACAAGUAAUGUUAAUUGCAGAAUUCAGUGAAUCAUCGAAUCUUUGAACGCACAUUGCUCCCCCUGGUAUUCCGGGGGGCAUGACUGUUCGAGCGUCAUUACAACCCUCAAGCUCUGCUUGGUAUUGGGCCCCGCCAGUUCUGGCGGGCCCUAAAGUCAGUGGCGGGGCCUUCCGGCUCCGAGCGUAGUAAUUCUUCUCGCUCUGGAGACCCGGUUGUGUGCUUGCCAACAACCCCCAAUUUUUUAAGGUUGACCUCGGAUCAGGUAGGGAUACCCGCUGAACUUAAGCAUAUCAAUAAGCGGAGGCU
rnacentral:misc_RNA from 1 species